rnacentral:rRNA from 1 species
AGAGGUUCCGUAGGUGACCUGCGGAGGAUCAUUAUUGAAAAGCUUUGGGGAUACUGUUGCUGGUCUUUUAACAAGGCAUGUGCACGUAUCUCUAAUCCUAUUCAUCCACCUGUGCACCUUUUGUAGGAGUUCCAGUAGGAUCGACUUUAUAGGUUUCUGACCUUGUAGUCGAUUUGAAAGGCCUUCUAUGUUCUUACAAACCUGUAUAAGCAUGUUUUAGAAUGUUCUUUUAUUGGGACUUAAUUGACCCUUUAAAGUCUAUACAACUUUCAGCAACGGAUCUCUUGGCUCUCCCAUCGAUGAAGAACGCAGCGAAAUGCGAUAAGUAAUGUGAAUUGCAGAAUUCAGUGAAUCAUCGAAUCUUUGAACGCACCUUGCGCCCUCUGGUAUUCCGGAGGGCAUGCCUGUUUGAGUGUCAUUAAAUUCUCAACUUCAAUAGUUUUGUAAUGGAACUCGUUGAAGCUUGGAUGUGGAGGCUUGCUGGCGUCUCAGAUGUUCGGCUCCUCUUAAAUGCAUUAGUGGAUCCCGUUUGUUGGACUACUUUGGUGUGAUAAUUAUCUACACUUUGGUUAGUUCAAUAGCUCUAUUGGGCAUUUCUCAGAACGUGUUUCUGGUUUGGGUUUUGCAUUAGUUUGCUUUACCUGGUUCAUUAGAGUAGGGGCUUAUCUGCUUUCAAACUGUCUGUGUAUGCGGACAAUCUUUGACUAUUUGACCUCAAAUCAGGUAGGACUACCCGCUGAACUUAAGCAUAUCAAUAAGCGGAGGA